rnacentral:rRNA from 1 species
GGAAGAGAUAAGUGCUGAAAGCAUCUAAGCACGAAACUUGCCCCGAGAUGAGUUCUCCCUGACUCCUUGAGAGUCCUGAAGGAACGUUGAAGACGACGACGUUGAUAGGCCGGGUGUGUAAGCGCAGCGAUGCGUUGAGCUAACCGGUACUAAUGAACCGUGAGGCUUAACCUU